rnacentral:rRNA from 1 species
UACGAAGGGGGGCUAGCGUUGUUCGGAAUUACUGGGCGUAAAGCGCGUGUAGGCGGGUCUUUAAGUCAGGGGUGAAAUACCAGGCUCAACCUUGGAACUGCCUUUGAUACUGGGGACCUUGAGUCCGGGAGAGGUGAGUGGAAUUGCGAGUGUAGAGGUGAAAUUCGUAGAUAUUCGCAAGAACACCCGUGGCGAAGGCGGCUCUCUGGGACGGUACUGACGCUGAGACGCGAAAGCGUGGGGAGCGAACAGG